rnacentral:rRNA from 1 species
AGGUCCCGCCUGCCCUGUGACCACAGUGUUUAACGGCCGCGGUAUCCUGACCGUGCGAAGGUAGCGUAAUCACUUGUCUUUUAAAUGAAGACCUGUAUGAAUGGCAUCACGAAGGUUCAACUGUCUCCUUCCCCCAGUCAAUGAAAUUGAUCUGCCCGUGCAGAAGCGGACAUAAAAACAUAAGACGAGAAGACCCUGUGGAGCUUUAGGCCAAGGAUCAAACAUGUAAAACAGACUCAAACCCUAAAAAGAAUAAUAAAAGUCCAAAAACCAAGAGUAACCUGAUCCUAAUGCCUUCGGUUGGGGCGACCGCGGGGGAAAAUAAAGCCCCCACAUGGAAUGGAACUACUUCCUUAAACCAAGAGUUACAACUCUAAGUAACAGAAUUUCUGACCACCUAUGACCCAGGACAAACAUAAACCUGAUCAAUGAACCAAGUUACCCCAGGGAUAACAGCGCAAUCCUUUCCCAGAGUCCAUAUCGACGAAAGGGU